rnacentral:rRNA from 1 species
AUGGUAAAAGCGCUGUUGUUCGAGACAUCUACCUUGAUCCGUGAUAGCCUGCAUUGGUUUCUAGCGAAGCAUAGAAAUCAUGUGUUAGUAUUUGACACCACAGCUGAGUCAUUCCGGCACAUGCGUGCUCUAGUUGUUCAGACCCUGACCUGUUUGAGAUGGAUGACACGUUGGGCAUCCAUUGCCUUCAUCAUGACACCGAAAUCAUUAAUAUAUGGGUGUUACAAGAUUAUGAAAGCAAGGUUUGGGACUUCAAGUAUCACUCAAAUUGCCGGCUGCAAAAAUCAGGGAGCAGUUUGA